rnacentral:rRNA from 1 species
GACGAACGCUGGCGGCGUGCCUAAUACAUGCAAGUAGAACGCUGAAGGAGGAGCUUGCUUCUCUGGAUGAGUUGCGAACGGGUGAGUAACGCGUAGGUAACCUGCCUGGUAGCGGGGGAUAACUAUUGGAAACGAUAGCUAAUACCGCAUAAUAGUAGAUGUUGCAUGACAUUUGCUUAAAAGGUGCAAUUGCAUCACUACCAGAUGGACCUGCGUUGUAUUAGCUAGUUGGUGAGGUAACGGCUCACCAAGGCAACGAUACAUAGCCGACCUGAGAGGGUGAUCGGCCACACUGGGACUGAGACACGGACCAGACUCCUACGGGAGGCAGCAGUAGGGAAUCUUCGGCAAUGGACGGAAGUCUGACCGAGCAACGCCGCGUGAGUGAAGAAGGUUUUCGGAUCGUAAAGCUCUGUUGUAAGAGAAGAACGAGUGUGAGAGUGGAAAGUUCACACUGUGACGGUAUCUUACCAGAAAGGGACGGCUAACUACGUG